rnacentral:rRNA from 1 species
UCGCCUGUUUAUCAAAAACAUGGUUUCUUGAUAUUUAUAUAAGAAAUUUGACCUGCCCACUGAAGAUUUUUGAAGGGCCGCAGUAUUUUGACUGUGCAAAGGUAGCAUAAUCAUUAGUCUUUUAAUUGAAGGCUGGUAUGAAUGGUUGGACGAGGUAAGAACUGUUUAUUAAGAAUUCUUAUUGAAUUUAGAUUUUAAGUAAAAAGACUUAAAUGUUAUCAAGGGACGAGAAGACCCUAUAGAGUUUAAUAUUUGUAGUUUUGGUUAAGUUAUAAAGGAAUAUUAAACUAUUAUGAAAUUUAUUUAGUUGGGGUGACUAAAAGAUAAAUUAAACUUUUUUUUGAAUUAAAUAAUAUUAAUAAAUAAAAUGAUCCAUAUGUAAUGAUUAUAAGAUUAAAUUACCUUAGGGAUAACAGCAUAAUUCUUUUUGAGAGUUCAAAUCGAAAAAGGAGAUUGUGACCUCGAUGUUGGAUUAAGAUUAAAUUUGGGUGUAGAUGUUCAAAAAUUAAGUCUGUUCGACUUUUAAAAUCUUACAUGAUCUGAGUUCAAACCGGAGA